UAGAUACCCUGGUAGUCCACGCCGUAAACGAUGAUUACUCGUUGCAUGCAAUACACCGUAUGUGACUUAGCGAAAGCAUUAAGUAAUCCACCUGGGGAGUACGUUCGCAAGAAUGAAACUCAAAGGAAUUGACGGGGGCCCGCACAAGCGGAGGAACAUGUGGUUUAAUUCGAUGAUACGCGAGGAACCUUACCUGGACUUAAAUGUAGCGUGACCGUACUCGAAAGGGUAUUUCUCUUCGGAGCAGGUUACAAGGUGCUGCAUGGCUGUCGUCAGCUCGUGCCGUGAGGUGUCGGGUUAAGUCCCAUAACGAGCGCAACCCCUAUUGUUAGUUGCUAACAGGUCAAGCUGAGGACUCUAGCGAGACUGCCACCGUAAGGUGAGAGGAAGGUGGGGAUGACGUCAAGUCAGCACGGCCCUUACGUCCAGGGCUACACACGUGUUACAAUGGUCGGUACAGAGAGCAGCUACUUGGUGACAAGAUGCGAAUCUUUUAAAGCCGGUCUUAGUUCGGAUCGAAGUCUGCAACUCGACUUCGUGAAGUUGGAUUCGCUAGUAAUCGCAUAUCAGCCACGAUGCGGUGAAUACGUUCCCGGGCCUUGUACACACCGCCCGUCAAGCCAUGGAAGCUGGGGGUACCUGAAGUCCGUAACCGUAAGGAUCGGCCUAGGGUAAAACUGGUAACUGGGGCUAAGUCGUAACAAGGUA
rnacentral:rRNA from 1 species